rnacentral:rRNA from 1 species
ACUCCUACGGGAGGCAGCAGUCGAGAAUCUUCCACAAUGGGGAACCGUGAUGGAGCGACGCCGCGUGCAGGAAGACGGCCUUCGGGUUGUAAACUGCUUUUAUAUGGGAACAAAUCAUUGAGCGUACCAUAUGAAUAAGCACCGACUAACCACGUGCCAGCAGUCGCGGUAAUACGUGGGGUGCAAGCGUUGUCCGGAAUUAUUGGGCGUAAAGCGUCUGUAGGCUGUUUUGUCAGUCCGCUGCUUAAAUCAUCAGGCUCAACCUGGUGGCUGGCACGGAUACUGCAAGACUAGAGCAUAGGAGAGGCAAGCGGAACUCCCGGUGUAGCGGUUAUAUGCGUUUAUAUCGGGGG